rnacentral:misc_RNA from 1 species
GGAGGCUUAUUAGUGGACCUGUCAAGCUUGGGCAUUUAAAAAUAUGAAGACUAUAUAAGGACAGAAAGUGGCUAGGUAAAUUUCCAUUCAAUUUGGGACAGUUCUUUAUCGUAAGCUCUAGAAGAUUAGGGUAGAUUCCUUCUUCAGUGACACCAUGGAAAGACCAUUCGUGCCAUUCUUGCAUGUCUUCAAAUUUGAGAAUUUUCAAAGAUGGGAAAU